GACGAACGCUGGAGGCGUGCUUAACACAUGCAAGUCGAACGAUGAAAUGGAGCUUGCUCCAUGGAUUAGUGGCGAACGGGUGAGUAACACGUGAAUAACCUGCCCUCAAUUUUGGAAUAACCCAGGGAAACCUGGGCUAAUACCGGAUAAGUAAACCUGUGGCAUCACAUGGUUUUGGAAAGUUUUUCGAUUAAGGAUGGAUUCGCGGCCUAUUAGCUUGUUGGUGAGGUAAUGGCUCACCAAGGCGACGACGGGUAGCCGGCCUGAGAGGGUGAACGGCCACACUGGGACUGAGACACGGCCCAGACUCCUACGGGAGGCAGCAGUGGGGAAUAUUGCGCAAUGGACGAAAGUCUGACGCAGCGACGCCUCGUGAGGGACGAAGGUCUUCGGAUUGUAAACCUCUUUCAGCAGGGACGAAGCGAAAGUGACGGUACCUGCAGAAGAAGCACCGGCUAACUAUGUGCCAGCAGCCGCCGCCG
rnacentral:rRNA from 1 species